rnacentral:rRNA from 1 species
AUUGAACGCUGGCGGCAUGCCUUACACAUGCAAGUCGAACGGUAACGCGGGGCAACCUGGCGACGAGUGGCGAACGGGUGAGUAAUGCAUCGGAACGUGCCCAUUAGUGGGGGAUAGCCCGGCGAAAGCCGGAUUAAUACCGCAUACGACCUACGGGUGAAAGCAGGGGAUCGCAAGACCUUGCGCUAUUGGAGCGGCCGAUGUCAGAUUAGGUUGUUGGUGGGGUAAAAGCCACCAAGCCGACGAUCUGUAGCUGGUCUGAGAGGACGACCAGCCACACUGGGACUGAGACACGGCCCAGACUCCUACGGGAGGCAGCAGUGGGGAAUUUUGGACAAUGGGCGCAAGCCUGAUCCAGCCAUGCCGCGUGCGGGAAGAAGGCCUU